CAUCAGGCGACCCAGUAGAUACUUUCGCAUUCGGACAUGAAGCGCUGCUCUUUCGCCUGUAUGCUGGUGUGGGCCAUCGUGCUGCAGAUCUGUCUGACGGAGGGAAUCGGCUUCAAGAAGCUUCCUUUCAACGGUGCCAUGUACGGAAAGAGGACCAGCUCCGUGGAUUACGACUCGUCGAAUCGUGCAAUAUCGUCCCUGUGUGAGACGGCAUCCGAAGUGUGCUCCUCUUGGUACAGCCAACCGGACAGCAAUUGACAUCGUAUUAGCUCUCUUUCUGUUAUUUAUCUGAUGUGAAAC
rnacentral:lncRNA from 1 species